UAAUUCAUGUUUGAAAGGAAUAGAGUGAAGAUGCAAGACCAUAAGGAUAAAGUAAAGGAUAGAAGCAGAUGCAAACAUACCGAGUUCAAGAGUGAAAGAAGGCAGAG